GCCAGGCGCGGUGGCACGUGCCUGUAGUCCCAGCUACUCAGGGGGCUGGAGCUGGAGGAUCCCUUGAGCCCAGUAGUUCUGGGCUGCAGUGCGCUAUGCCGAUGAUUGGGUAUCCGUACUAAGUUCGGCAUCAAUACGGUGACCUUCUGGGAGCAGGGGACCACCAAGUUCCCUAAGGAGUGGUGAACUGGCCCAGGUCAGAAACGGAGCAGUUCAAAACUCCUGUGCUGAUCAGUAGUGGGAUGGCGCCUGUGAAUAGCCACUGCACUCCAGCCUGGGCAAUACAGCCAGACCCCGUCUCUU
rnacentral:SRP_RNA from 1 species